rnacentral:rRNA from 1 species
CCUACGGGUGGCAGCAGUGGGGAAUAUUGCACAAUGGGGGAAACCCUGAUGCAGCGACGCCGCGUGAGUGAAGAAGUAAUUCGUUAUGUAAAGCUCUAUCAGCAGGGAAGAAAAUGACGGUACCUGAGUAAGAAGCCCCGGCUAACUACGUGCCAGCAGCCGCGGUAAUACGUAGGGGGCAAGCGUUAUCCGGAUUUACUGGGUGUAAAGGGAGCGUAGACGGCAGUGCAAGUCUGGAGUGAAAGGCGCGGGCUCAACCCCCGGACUGCUCUGGAAACUGGACGGCUUGAGUGCAGGAGAGGGAAGUAGAAUUCCUAGUGUAGCGGUGAAAUGCGUAGAUAUUAGGAGGAACACCAGUGGCGAAGGCGGCUUACUGGACUGUGACUGACGUUGAGGCUCGAAAGCGUGGGGAGCAAACAGGAUUAGAUACCCGGGUAGUC